rnacentral:lncRNA from 10 species
AAAAAAAAAAAAAAAAAGUGGAAGAGGGAGGCAGAAGAGGUCAGAGUGAUACAAUGUGAGAAGAACUUGACUUGCCUUUGCUAGCUUUAAAGAUAGAAGAAGGGGGUCAGUAACCAAGGAAUGUGGGCAGCCUCUAGAAACUGGGAAAGGCAAGGAGUGAAUCCUACCCAGAGCCUAGAGAAAAGGAUGUAGGCCUGCCAACCCCUUGAUUUUAGCCCUGUGAGACAUGUGUCAGACUUUUUUUGCGGGGAGGAGACAGGGUCUCUUUUGCCCAGGCUCCGUGUCAGACUUCUGACAAAAUAAAUUUGUUUUGUGGUAAUUUGUUACAGCAGCAGUAGAAAACUGUAAUACAUUGACUAAUACAAUGUCCAACAAAUAGUGCAUUAGAAAAUGGGUAGAGGAUAUGACCCGGUGAUUAUAGAAAUCCAGACGGUUACUAGACGUAUUAAAAGACACUUGUUUUCAUGGCCUUGGAGAUGGAUGAGCUGACCCAGGGAGAGAAAAGAGCAGAGGGCUGAGAAGAAAUGGUCAGAAAGAUACGUGGAGAACUUACAGGUCAAGUGGAUGAAGAAGAGAACAAUACCCAGGACAAAGCACAGUUGCCUAGACUCAGAUGACCUGUGCUCGUGUGAAUGGAUGUAGUUUUUUGUUCACAUGCUGUGAAGUCGUUCCCUCUCAAGGGCGGCUUUGGGCUAUGCUGACCUGGCCCUGUAGCCUCACCCUAUAGAGUAGGGAUGUGUGGACUCCAGAUGUGAUCAUCUGUGAAGAUCCACAAAAGAGUUAAGCCUGCAGAAUCCUGAGUGCUCUACUGG